ensembl:misc_RNA Metazoa_SRP Metazoan signal recognition particle RNA
GCUGGGUGUGGUGCUGCACACCUGUAAUCCCAGCAACUCGGGAGGCUGAGGCAGGAGAAUUGCUUGAACCUGGGAGGCGGCGUUUGCAGUGAGCUGAGAUGGUGCCACUGCACUCCUCCUGGGUGACACAGCGAGACUCUGUCUCAA